GUUAUACAAAUAAUGCAAAUAAAUUUUAUUAGUUUAAGUAAAAUUUAAAUUNAAAAAAUAAAAAAUAAUUUUAUUAGGUGAAAUUUUAAAAUUAUUUAAUUUUUAUUUAAAAUAAUUGAGUCUUAAAAAUUUUAUAUAAAAACUAGGAUUAGAUACCCUAUUAUUUAAAAUAUAUUUAUUUAUACUAAAGUAGUAUUAGUUAUGUUCUUGAAAUUUAAAAAAUUUGGCGGUAUUUUAGUCUAUUUAGAGGAAUCUGUUCUAUAAUCGAUAAUCCACGAUGGACCUUACUUAUAUUUGUAUUCAGUUUAUAUACCGUCGUUAUAAGAAUAUUUUUUAAAAAUAAUAAUUUUCAAUAUUUUUUAUAAAAAUUUAUAUCAGAUCAANGGUGUAGCUUAUGUAUAAGUAGUUAUGGAUUACAAUAAAUUUAUUUAUGGAUUUAUAAAUGAAAAUUUAUAAUGAAAUUGGAUUUAAAUGUAAAAUUAUAUAGAUUAAUAAUUUGAU
rnacentral:rRNA from 1 species